ACCGACCCCUUUCUUCCUUCCUAACACAUGCAAGUCGAACGAACCUUUCGGGGUUAGUGGCGGACGGGUGAGUAACACGUGGGAACGUGCCUUUAGGUUCGGAAUAACUCAGGGAAACUUGUGCUAAUACCGAAUGUGCCCUUCGGGGGAAAGAUUUAUCGCCUUUAGAGCGGCCCGCGUCUGAUUAGCUAGUUGGUUGAGGUAAUGGCUCACCAAGGCGACGAUCAGUAGCUGGUCUGAGAGGAUGAUCAGCCACAUUGGGACUGAGACACGGCCCAAACUCCUACGGGAGGCAGCAGUGGGGAAUCUUGCGCAAUGGGCGAAAGCCUGACGCAGCCAUGCCGCGUGAAUGAUGAAGGUCUUAGGAUUGUAAAAUUCUUUCACCGGGGACGAUAAUGACGGUACCCGGAGAAGAAGCCCCGGCUAACUUCGUG
rnacentral:rRNA from 1 species